rnacentral:rRNA from 1 species
AUGCACGCUGGCGGCGUGCCUCAUACAUGCAAGUCGCGCGCACGGACGAGAAGCUUGCUUCUCUGAUGUUAGCGGCGGACGGGUGAGUAACACGUGGAUAACCUACCUAUAAGACUGGGAUAACUUCGGGAAACCGGAGCUAAUACCGGAUAAUAUUUUGAACCGCAUGGUUCAAAAGUGAAAGACGGUCUUGCUGUCACUUAUAGAUGGAUCCGCGCUGCAUUAGCUAGUUGGUAAGGUAACGGCUUACCAAGGCAACGAUGCAUAGCCGACCUGAGAGGGUGAUCGGCCACACUGGAACUGAGACACGGUCCAGACUCCUACGGGAGGCAGCAGUAGGGAAUCUUCCGCAAUGGGCGAAAGCCUGACGGAGCAACGCCGCGUGAGUGAUGAAGGUCUUCGGAUCGUAAAACUCUGUUAUUAGGGAAGAACAUAUGUGUAAGUAACUGUGCACAUCUUGACGGUACCUAAUCAGAAAGCCACGGCUAACUACGUG